rnacentral:tRNA from 3 species
GGAAUGUUAGCUCAGUUGGUUCAGAGCACUACCUUGACAGGGUAGGGGUCAGGGGUUCGAGUCCCUUACAUUUCA